AGUGAACGCUGGCGGUAGGCCUAACACAUGCAAGUCGAACGGCAGCACAGUAAGAGCUUGCUCUUACGGGUGGCGAGUGGCGGACGGGUGAGGAAUACAUCGGAAUCUACUUUUUCGUGGGGGAUAACGUAGGGAAACUUACGCUAAUACCGCAUACGACCUACGGGUGAAAGCAGGGGAUCUUCGGACCUUGCGCGAUUGAAUGAGCCGAUGUCGGAUUAGCUAGUUGGCGGGGUAAAGGCCCACCAAGGCGACGAUCCGUAGCUGGUCUGAGAGGAUGAUCAGCCACACUGGAACUGAGACACGGUCCAGACUCCUACGGGAGGCAGCAGUGGGGAAUAUUGGACAAUGGGCGCAAGCCUGACCCAGCCAUACCGCGUGGGUGAAGAAGGCCUUCGGGUUGUAAAGCCCUUUUGUUGGGAAAGAAAAGCAGCAGGUUAAAACCCCGCUGUUCUGACGGUACCCAAAGAAUAAGCACCGGCUAACUUCGUG
rnacentral:rRNA from 1 species